AUUCCGGUUGAUCCUGCCGGAGGCCAUUGCUAUUGGAGUCCGAUUUAGCCAUGCUAGUCGCACGGGUUCAGACCCGUGGCGAAUAGCUCCGUAACACGUGGCCAAACUACCCUAUGGAUCGGAAUAACCUCGGGAAACUGAGGCUAAUACCGAAUACCGCUCUCACGUUGGAAUUACAGAGAGCACGAAACGCUCCGGCGCCAUAGGAUGUGGCUGCGGCCGAUUAGGUAGACGGUGGGGUAACGGCCCACCGUGCCGAUAAUCGGUACGGGUUGUGAGAGCAAGAGCCCGGAGACGGUAUCUGAGACAAGAUACCGGGCCCUACGGGGCGCAGCAGGCGCGAAACCUUUACACUGCACGAACGUGCGAUAAGGGGACUCCAAGUGCGAGGGCAUAUAGUCCUCGCUUUUGCCUACCGUAAGGUGGUAGGUGAAUAAGAGCUGGGCAAGACCGGUGCCAGCCGCCGCGGUAAUACCGGCAGCUCGAGUGAUGGCCAAUAUUAUUGGGCCUAAAGCGUCCGUAGCUGGCCGAACAGGUCUGUCGGGAAAUCCGCUCGCUCAACGAGCGGACGUCCGGCGGAAACCAGUCGGCUUGGGACCGGAAGACCCGAGGGGUACGUCCGGGGUAGGAGUGAAAUCCUGUAAUCCUGGACGGACCACCGGUGGCGAAAGCGCCUCGGGAGGACGGAUCCGACAGUGAGGGACGAAAGCUUGGGUCACGAACCGGAUUAGAUACCCGGGUAGUCCAAGCUGUAAACGAUGCUCGCUAGGUGUGGCACUGGCUACGAGCCAGUGCUGUGCUGUAGGGAAGCCGAGAAGCGAGCCGCCUGGGAAGUACGUCCGCAAGGAUGAAACUUAAAGGAAUUGGCGGGGGAGCACUACAACCGGAGGAGCCUGCGGUUUAAUUGGACUCAACGCCGGACAUCUCACCAGCACCGACAGUGUGCGAUGAAGAUCAGUGUGAUGAGCUUAUUGGAGCCACUGAGAGGAGGUGCAUGGCCGCCGUCAGCUCGUACCGUGAGGCGUCCUGUUAAGUCAGGCAACGAGCGAGACCCGCAUCCUUAAUUGCCAGCAGUACC
rnacentral:rRNA from 1 species